UUUUUGGAGAGUUUGAUCCUGGCUCAGGACGAACGCUGGCGGCGUGCCUAAUACAUGCAAGUCGAGCGAAUGAUUGGGA
rnacentral:rRNA from 1 species